rnacentral:rRNA from 1 species
CUCAGGAUGAACGCUAGCGGGAGGCCUAACACAUGCAAGCCGAGCGGUAGAGAUCUUUCGGGAUCUUGAGAGCGGCGUACGGGUGCGGAACACGUGUGCAACCUGCCUUUAUCUGGGGGAUAGCCUUUCGAAAGGAAGAUUAAUACCCCAUAAUAUAUCGAGUGGCAUCAUUUGAUAUUGAAAACUCCGGUGGAUAGAGAUGGGCACGCGCAAGAUUAGAUAGUUGGUGAGGUAACGGCUCACCAAGUCUGCGAUCUUUAGGGGGCCUGAGAGGGUGAUCCCCCACACUGGUACUGAGACACGGACCAGACUCCUACGGGAGGCAGCAGUGAGGAAUAUUGGACAAUGGGUGAGAGCCUGAUCCAGCCAUCCCGCGUGAAGGACGACGGCCCUAUGGGUUGUAAACUUCUUUUGUAUAGGGAUAAACCUACUCUCGUGAGAGUAGCUG